rnacentral:lncRNA from 1 species
AACAUGUUCAGAGUUCUUCUUGUCUUGCUGCUUUGGCUUACAGGUAACUAUUUUAUAUUAAAUGAUGCUAAUGAUUUCAUAACAGCAUGGUGUGGCAGGAAAUUGCAGCAAUUUGUAGGAAGUACCAAGGGUCCAUAAUAGAAAUUGUUAAGUAGGGGAGGUCAGGUGUCAAUACUGAUAGAAUUAUAUCUAAACCGAACCUUUUUUUUUUUCACUAAAGUAUUACUCUAGUCUAAAUCAACAUGUUCAGAGUUCUCCUAGUCUUGCUGCUUUGGCUUACAGGUUCUGUUGUUAAUGGCAGUGUUAAUCAAAGCCCCUCAAAUCUAAUUAAAUCUGAGAGAGACAAUGCAGAACUUGUAUGCGAAUACAACAUACCAUCUUACACUAGGAUUUUCUGCAGAAGCACUUGGUGAAAGAAGUCACGAUGAACACAUUCCUUAGUGCAUCUGUAUGCAUAAUGAUAUUUACAGGUAAUAACAACAAACAAAUCUGCAUUCUAUACAUGAAUAUAUCCUGUUUUACACUGUUAUACACUGUUUUGUUUUUCUCCACAGC